rnacentral:rRNA from 1 species
UACAGAGGUCUCAAGCGUUGUUCGGAUUCAUUGGGCGUAAAGGGUGUGUAGGUGGCGCGCUAAGUCGGGUGUGAAAUUUCGGAGCUUAACUCCGAAACUGCAUUCGAUACUGGCGUGCUUGAGGACUGGAGAGGAGACUGGAAUUCAUGGUGUAGCAGUGAAAUGCGUAGAGAUCCGGAGGAACACCGAAGGCGAAGGCAGUGUCCUGGCGCGUAACUGACGCUGAGGUGCGAAAGCCAGGGGAGCGAACGGG